CCGUGCUAGACGGGGAGGUAGCGGUGCCCUGAACCUGCAAUCCGCUAGAGCAGGGUUGAAUUCCUGACCCGAGGGUUUAGCUUGUAGGGUCUGACCUCUGAUAAGGAGUGACGAUGGUUGGGUCUUGCGCGACGAAGACUUCUGAACCGUGUCAGGUCCUGACGGAAGCAGCACUAAGGAAAUCUCUUCGGGUGCCGCAAGGGUGCCUGACUUGAGCUACCUGCAGAGGUAACGCCUGGAAGUUAUUAUUCGACGGUAGGUGCACGG
rfam:Peptococcaceae bacterium SCADC1_2_3 contig_7, whole genome shotgun sequence.